GACGAACGCUGGCGGCGUGCCUAAUACAUGCAAGUCGAACGAGAGCAACCGGUGCUUGCCCUGGUCAAUCUAGUGGCGAACGGGUGAGUAACACGUGGGUAACCUGCCCAUCAGAGGGGGAUAACAUCCGGAAACGGAUGCUAAAACCGCAUAGGUCUUCGAACCGCAUGGUUUGAAGAAGAAAAGAGGCGCAAGCUUCUGCUGAUGGAUGGACCCGCGGUGCAUUAGCUAGUUGGUGAGGUAACGGCUCACCAAGGCCGUGAUGCAUAGCCGACCUGAGAGGGUGAUCGGCCACAUUGGGACUGAGACACGGCCCAAACUCCUACGGGAGGCAGCAGUAGGGAAUCUUCCGCAAUGGACGCAAGUCUGACGGAGCAACGCCGCGUGAGUGAAGAAGGUUUUCGGAUCGUAAAACUCUGUUGUUAGAGAAGAACAAGUGCUAGAGUAACUGUUAGCGCCUUGACGGUAUCUAACCAGAAAGCCACGGCUAACUACGUG
rnacentral:rRNA from 1 species